CAAUUUGUCAUUCUGGUUGUAUAAAAGCUUUCCCAUGCAAGGGGCUGAUGUUAUAACAGUAGAUUAUUAUGCUACAGUGUAUUUUAACCAGGUAAAGAAAGCUUUGUAUGGUUUGAAUUUUCUGGAAACAUGGAGAAGACUGUCCUUGUCAUCCACACUACAACAAAACUUCAGGACCUUGGACUUUGGGUUCAUGGUCUGGCAACUGAGAAGCGUCCCUCCACACUUUUGGAACUGUGCAUGCAUUGGAACUUUUGAGAGACCAUCAAGCUUCAGAUGAUCAUGCAACAAAGGUUCCAUCCAGUUGCAGGUGAAGACACCACCCCUAGCCGUCAAGAAACUACCCUGCCUCCACUAGAUAGAGCAGGGCGAGUUCCGUGAUCACCAAUAGCUUUUCCCAGCUGGAGUACAAGUGGACAUGCACAGACGAGACUCGAUCUGCACUGUGCGGCUUUCCUGAGUCUUGAGAGACCAGCUCAUCAUAAAUCCUAGGCUUCUGCUGUCCCUUGCUGCUUCUCUCUGGUGGAUUUUUCCCCAUGAAUGGCAACAACAGUUAGGAACUUGCGGGAAACCCCGUCGCUCCCUUUCCUCUGGCUGGCAGAGCGGAAGCCGCAUGAUGCCUGGAGUUCCUCUAAAAGACGUGAACCAGCGGGAAGUCGUCAGAGCUCUGGCAGCCUUUCUCAAAAAGUCCGGGAAGCUGAAAGUCCCUGAAUGGGUGGACACCGUCAAGCUGGCCAAGCACAAAGAGCUUGCUCCCUACGUUGAGAACUGGUUCUACACAGGAGCUGGUUCCACAGCGCGGCACCUGUACCUCCGUGGUGGCGCUGGGGUUGGCUCCAUGACCAAGAUCUACGGGGGACGUCAGAGAAACGGCAUCAUCCCCAGCCACUUCAGCCGAGGCUUCAACAGCGUCCUCCGCCAGGUCCUCCAAGCCCUGGAAGGGCUGAAAAUGGUGGAAAAGGACCAAGAUGGGGACCGCAAACUGACACCUCAGGGACAGAGAGAUCUGGACAGAAUUGCCGGACAGGUGGCAGCUGCCAACAAGAAGCAUUAGAACAAACCAUGUUGGGUUAAUAUAUUGCCUCAUUCGGAAAAAAAAAAAAAAAAAAAA